CAGUAGCCGCGGGAACACGUAGGGUGCGAGCGUUAAUCGGAAUUACUGGGCGUAAAGCGUGCGCAGGCGGUUGUGUAAGACAGGUGUGGAAUCCCCGGGCUUAACCUGGGAACUGCGCUUGUGACUGCACAGCUAGAGUAUGGCAGAGGGGGGUGGAAUUCCACGUGUAGCAGUGAAAUGCGUAGAGAUGUGGAGGAACACCGAUGGCGAAGGCAGCCCCCUGGGCCAAUACUGACGCUCAUGCACGAAAGCGUGGGGAGCAAACAGGAUUAGAUACCCGCGUAGUCCCUGUCUCUUAUAC
rnacentral:rRNA from 1 species